GUGAUUUGUGAGCGCACUAAAUUAUUAGCAAGCAUGCAGCAAUGAAUCGAGCCUGAACAGAAGCUUCCACAUGGAAGGCUAGCACAGCCAUCAUCCAGUCCCGUAGACCAAUUAGCUUCCGGAGUUGCCUCUCUUGUUCAACACUGGCUGUGCCCUUCAUCAAGAGGCUAGAAAGGUCUGUCAGGACACACACUCCGAAAAACACAGCCUGGAUGACCUGGAGAAAUGGAGACAGAGAAUGCUAAUGCUAAUACAGAUGCCAACUUUGUUCUGUCCACUUCAGUUGACUUAUUUGUCGAAAACAGCAUCUACUAUGAUGGAGAAAUACGACAGGAGGAUAGCUACUCUGAGGAUCUGGGAAGGAAUGAGAGCCAUGUUUAUGUCCCGUUGUGCUGGACGCGCGGACCCGAGGAUGCUGCUACCUACCGCUGCUGUGUCGGG